GGCCUAACACAUGCAAGUCGAGCGGUAGCACAGGAGAGCUUGCUCUCUGGGUGACGAGCGGCGGACGGGUGAGUAAUGUCUGGGAAACUGCCUGAUGGAGGGGGAUAACUACUGGAAACGGUAGCUAAUACCGCAUGACCUCGCAAGAGCAAAGUGGGGGACCUUCGGGCCUCACGCCAUCGGAUGUGCCCAGAUGGGAUUAGCUAGUAGGUGGGGUAAUGGCUCACCUAGGCGACGAUCCCUAGCUGGUCUGAGAGGAUGACCAGCCACACUGGAACUGAGACACGGUCCAGACUCCUACGGGAGGCAGCAGUGGGGAAUAUUGCACAAUGGGCGCAAGCCUGAUGCAGCCAUGCCGCGUGUGUGAAGAAGGCCUUAGGGUUGUAAAGCACUUUCAGCGAGGAGGAAGGGUUCAGUGUUAAUAGCACUGAGCAUUGACGUUACUCGCAGAAGAAGCACCGGCUAACUCCGUGCCAGCAGCCGCGGUAAUACGGAGGGUGCAAGCGUUAAUCGGAAUUACUGGGCGUAAAGCGCACGCAGGCGGUUUGUUAAGUCAGAUGUGAAAUCCCCGAGCUUAACUUGGGAACUGCAUUUGAAACUGGCAAGCUAGAGUCUUGUAGAGGGGGGUAGAAUUCCAGGUGUAGCGGUGAAAUGCGUAGAGAUCUGGAGGAAUACCGGUGGCGAAGGCGGCCCCCUGGACAAAGACUGACGCUCAGGUGCGAAAGCGUGGGGAGCAAAC
rnacentral:rRNA from 1 species